GUCUAAGUACAUACCUUAAAACAGUGAAACUGCGAAUGGCUCAUUAAAUCAGCUAUGGUUCCUUCGAUCAUAUAUACUAAAUGGAUAACUGUAAUAGUUCUCGAGCUAAUACAUGCAAUUAUGCCCUGACCCACAAGGGGACGAGUGCAUUUAUUAUUCGUGAACCAAUCAUCCCCCAGCCCAUUCCAAUGAUCCACCAGUUAUAAUUUGUAUGUGACUAGUGACAUCGACCAGACUAGUAAUGAGGACAAAUACUAG
rnacentral:ncRNA from 1 species